rnacentral:rRNA from 1 species
UACGUAGGGGGCGAGCGUUAGGCGGAAUCACUGGGCUUAAAGCGUGUGUAGGCGGGUGCCUAAGUACCUUGUGAAAUCCCACGGCUCAACCGCGGAACUGCUUGGUAUACUGGGUAUCUUGAGCCACUUAGGGGCAACCGGAACAAACGGUGGAGCGGUGAAAUGCGUAGAUAUCGUUUGGAACGCCAAUGGUGAAAACAGGUUGCUGGGAGUGUGCUGACGCUGAGACACGAAAGCCAGGGGAGCAAACGGG